rnacentral:rRNA from 1 species
UACGAAGGGGGCUAGCGUUGCUCGGAAUUACUGGGCGUAAAGCGCACGUAGGCGGAUUGUUAAGUCGGGGGUGAAAUCCUGGAGCUCAACUCCAGAACUGCCUUUGAUACUGAAGAUCUUGAGUUCGGGAGAGGUGAGUGGAACUGCGAGUGUAGAGGUGAAAUUCGUAGAUAUUCGGAGGAACACCAGUGGCGAAGGCGGCUCACUGGUCCGGUACUGACGCUGAGGUGCGAAAGCGUGGGGAGCAACAGG